rnacentral:rRNA from 1 species
GAUGAACGCUGGCGGCGUGCUUAACACAUGCCAGUCGAGCGAGAAGUUUUGAAAAGAUUCUUCGGAUGAAAUUUAAAAUGGAAAGCGGCGGACGGGUGAGUAACGCGUAGGCAACCUGCCCCAUACAAAGGGAUAGCAUUUGGAAACGAAUAUUAAUACCUUAUGAAACUUAACUAGUGCAUGCUAGGUAGGUCAAAGAUUUAUCGGUAUGGGAUGGGCCUGCGUCUGAUUAGCUAGUUGGUGAGGUAACGGCUCACCAAGGCGACGAUCAGUAGCCGACCUGAGAGGGUGAACGGCCACAUUGGAACUGAGACACGGUCCAAACUCCUACGGGAGGCAGCAGUGGGGAAUAUUGCACAAUGGGGGAAACCCUGAUGCAGCAACGCCGCGUGAACGAUGAAGGCCUUUGGGUCGUAAAGUUCUGUUCUAGGUGAUGAAAACUGACAGUAACCUAGGAGAAAGCCCCGGCUAACUCCGU